rnacentral:rRNA from 1 species
AUAGCGUAUAUUAAAGUUGUUGCAGUUAAAAAGCUCGUAGUUGGAUUUCUGGCAGGAUGACUUUGCCCUCUGUAGAGUGCGCAAUGCUGUCCUACCAUCCUUCUGUUAACCCUUUCGACCUUAAAAAGUUGGCUGGGGGCUCAGAUAUUUUACCUUGAGAAAAUUAGAGUGUUUCAGGCAGGCUAGCGCCGGAAUACAUUAGCAUGGAAUAAUAGAAUAGGACUUUUGCCUCUUCUGUUGGUCUGAGGGGUGUAAGUAAUGAUUAAUAGGGAUAGUUGGGGGCAUUAGUACUUAACUGUCAGAGGUGAAAUUCUCGGAUUUGUUAAAGACUAACUUA